rnacentral:rRNA from 1 species
UACGUAGGGGGCAAGCGUUGUCCGGAUUCAUUGGGCGUAAAGAGCGUGUAGGCGGCCAGGUAGGUCGGUUGUGAAAACUGGAGGCUCAACCUUCAGACGUCGACCGAAACCAUCUGGCUAGAGUCCGGGAGAGGAGAGUGGAAUUCCUGGUGUAGCGGUGAAAUGCGCAGAGUAUCAGGAAGAACACCCGUGGCGAAAGCGGCUCUCUGGAACGGUACUGACGGCUGAGACGCGAAAGCGUGGGGAGCGAACAGG